rnacentral:rRNA from 1 species
AGAGUUUGAUCAUGGCUCAGGACGAACGCUGACGGUGUGCUUUAGACAUGCAAGUCGAACGAGAAAGCCCUUCGGGGUGAGUAUAGUGGCGAACGGGUGAGUAACACGUGGGCAACCUGCCCCUCGCAGGGGGAUAACCGGAGGAAACUCCGGCUAAUACCCCGUAAGCUUUCAGGGUCGCAUGGCCCUGUAAGGAAAGGUAGCUUCGGCCAUCCGGCGAGGGAUGGGCCCGCGGUGCAUUAGCUAGUUGGUGGGGUAACGGCCCACCAAGGCGACGAUGCGUAGCUGGUCUGAGAGGAUGAUCAGCCACACUGGGACUGAGACACGGCCCAGACUCCUACGGGAGGCAGCAGCCAGGAAUCUUGGGCAAUGGGCGAAAGCCUGACCCAGCAACACCGUGUGGGCGAUGAAGGCCUUCGGGUCGUAAAGCCCUGUUGAUAGGGACGAAGGGCGAAGGGUUAAUAGCCCCUAGCCUGACGGUACCCUUCGAGGAAGCCCCGGCUAACUACGUGCCAGCAGCCGCGGUAAUACGUAGGGGGCGAGCGUUGUCCGGAAUUAUUGGGCGUAAAGAGCGUGUAGGCGGUUCGGUAAGUCUGCCGUGAAAACCUGGGGCUCAACCCCGGGCGUGCGGUGGAUACUGCCGGGCUAGAGGGUGGUAGAGGCGAGUGGAAUUCCCGGUGUAGCGGUGAAAUGCGCAGAUAUCGGGAGGAACACCAGUAGCGAAGGCGGCUCGCUGGGCCAUUCCUGACGCUGAGACGCGAAAGCUAGGGGAGCGAACAGGAUUAGAUACCCCCGUAGUCC